UACAACUGUCAUCUCUAUACAGUGGAAUCUCAGUUCUUGAACUUAAUUCAUCCUCAAAGGCUGUUCAAGAAGUGAUUUGUUCGAAAAACGAAUCAUUUUUUUCCAUUAGAAAUAAUAUAAAUUGAGUUAAUUCGUUUCGGACCCCCAAAUGAUUCCCUGCUUAGAUCUUUCUUACAU